rnacentral:lncRNA from 1 species
GUGCCAUCUAACGUGUUUCUUCUGUUAAGAUAUGUUGAUAUGUUCAGGAAGGGUGAUACAACAUCAAACAGUCACUGAUACGCAUAUGCUUUUUGACUUAAGCAUAAAACACUAAAUUAUUUAUCAAUCUCUUGUGCAUGGUUAUUUUCAAAUAUCUGUACGGGACUUUACGAGAUUGUACGUGAGUAUAGGUCACCAUAAGUGACUAUAUUUGAAGAUUUUAAAGAAC